rnacentral:lncRNA from 1 species
UUUCCAUGUCACACAACUUCUCUGAGAGACUGUGUAUGUACAAUAUUCAUAUGUGCCGUGUACUGUAAAUUUAUAUGGAUGAUGGUCCCAUGUCCCAUGCUGCAUAUUUAUAUGGUUGAUGGUCUGAUGUCCCAUCCAUAUGCGUCAGGCCGUGCCUGGUCGCAGAGUCCGCUCGUUUGCUGGCAAUUGCUGCCAGCUGUGCUCAUAAUUUGAUAUGCGCCAAAUUUGAUUCGAGUUUUGCUCUUUACUCGCUCAGACGUCGCUUUAAUUAGCUACAGUUGCUGACUUUUUAAUGGACAGCAGUGGCCGAGGGAUGGGACACGCCGCAGGGCGAGGGCUACAGGGGAGUACAUCCAGCUCUUAGUUUCAGUUUAUAUUACGGACGGACAUGGGUUCGGGACUCUCGUUCCCUUCUUAUCAAUUGCGCUUAAAUCGCGGACAUCAAUUACGCGUCUGGCACGUUGCCCUGGCAGGCCUAUCAAUAAAAUGUGCCGCGUUUCAAGUUACGUUCUUUUUUGUUCGUGUCUGUUUUUUUUUUCGUAGCGAUUUAAUUGAAACACAAGCCAGGCACACAGGCAUAGCUCCAGGUCGAGGUCCAGGGCUCCGGCUAAGCAGGGAACACAAACCCAGGCAUUAAAUUUAAGCCGUAGACAUAGACAACGACCGCAUGGAAAUUAAUAUCGAGGGUCUCCAUGCUCUUUCGCGAGAGAUUUAAGCCUCCACUUGGUGACCGACCACUGUGUGAGCGGAAUGGGAGUGGAAUCGGAGCUGUACCUUGGGAGUGACAGUGGAAUCGGAGCUGUAUGUACCUUGGAAGUGGUGGUAAUGCCUGGCCUGGUAAUUGAGUAAGUGAAGCUCUAUGGGCAGCAGUCACUUUUGUGCGGGUCUUGAUUUGCGCUCAACAGAUAAUUACACCACACAACAGGAAAAUAUUUCUGAUAUUUAUUUAUAAGCAACCAAUAAAUAAUUUUCAAUCCACAACCAAAUGUAUUUAUUACCUUUAUACUUACACAAGCACUUACAUAACUG